UACGUAGGGUGCAAGCGUUGUCCGGAAUUAUUGGGCGUAAAGAGCUCGUAGGCGGUUCGUCGCGUCGGCUGUGAAAUCCCGAGGCUCAACCUCGGGUCUGCAGUCGAUACGGGCGGACUGGAGUACUGCAGGGGAGACUGGAAUUCCUGGUGUAGCGGUGAAAUGCGCAGAUAUCAGGAGGAACACCGAUGGCGAAGGCAGGUCUCUGGGCUGACACUGACGCUCAUGCACGAAAGCGUGGGGAGCAAACAGG
rnacentral:rRNA from 1 species